rnacentral:rRNA from 1 species
UUUACUGGGCGUAAAGGGUGCGUAGGCGGUCUUUCAAGUCAGGAGUGAAAGGCUACGGCUCAACCGUAGUAAGCUCUUGAAACUGGGAGACUUGAGUGCAGGAGAGGAGAGGGGAAUUCCUAGUGUAGCGGUGAAAUGCGUAGAUAUUAGGAGGAACACCAGUUGCGAAGGCGGCUCUCUGGACUGUAACUGACGCUGAGGCACGAAAGCGUGGGGAGCAAACAGGAUUAGAUACCCUGGUAGUCCACGCUGUAAACGAUGAGUACUAGGUGUCGGGGGUUACCCCCUUCGG